CCCCAAUAAUGAGACGACACUUCACUUUGAGGGUUAAGCAGGAACUCUCUGUAAUGGCCACACACUGGCUUUUAUGCAAGUCCCCAUGCAAGGGGACAUCUCACAGGGUGGGACACAGUACAACCAAUCGUUUACAGGGGAACCGUAAAACACACCCACAAUUACAUCACAAUCCCUCCUCUCUGUCCUGGAGAUAAUUGUGAAGUAAUCAAAUUAUCUCCAAGGACAGAGGCAAAACUCCAUUAACCACAUGGCAGACAAAGGACAAUAAAAGACAUAAAAUUACAUACAGUUACAUUUAUUCCAUAAAACAUAGACAUUCUACAUAUCCCCAGAUAGCUUAGAUCUGAGUGCACAUUACUACCGAAUGGCGCUCAGAUCACAUACAUA